rnacentral:rRNA from 1 species
AAUCAACGCUGGCGGCGUGCCUCAGACAUGCAAGUCGAACGCGAAAGUUUCCUUCGGGAAGCGAGUAGAGUGGCGCACGGGUGAGUAACACGUAGGUAAUCUACCCCCGAGUGGGGAAGUAACUCAGGGAAACGUUGAGCUAAUACCGCAUAAUGCAGCGGCACCACAUGGUGACAGUUGUUAAAGCAUUUAUGCGCUUGGGGAGGAGCCUGCGGCAGAUUAGCUAGUUGGUAAGGUAAUGGCUUACCAAGGCUACGAUCUGUAACCGGCCUGAGAGGGC